rnacentral:rRNA from 1 species
UACAGAGGGUGCGAGCGUUGUCCGGAAUCACUGGGCGUAAAGGGCGCGUAGGCGGCUCAGUAAGGUUGCGGUGAAAGCCCGGGGCUCAACCCCGGGUCGGCCGUGGCAACUGCUGGGCUGGAGCACUGUAGAGGCAGGUGGAAUUCCGGGUGUAGCGGUGGAAUGCGUAGAGAUCCGGAAGAACACCGGUGGCGAAGGCGGCCUGCUGGGGCAGUAGCUGACGCUGAGGCGCGACAGCGUGGGGGAGCAAACAGG